CUAGUGAGCCCACCACUGAUAACACUGCAUUUUGUGCACCACAGGCAGUAACACUGGAAGCUGUGCUGUGUCUAGCUCACUGCCAGCAGCACUUCAAAAGUCACCAUGCUUAGGCUUGUUGUUAGCCAGGUAGACAACACGGGGCAUAAAACACUGGAGACAGCAGGUUUAUGCUGCUGCUCCAUUAGCUGCUGCCUAUGAAGUUUCUUUUCUGGUACUCACAAUAGUAAGCAGUCCAAAUCCAUCCUGAGUCCAAAUCCAUCCUGAGUAAUUAAAAGUAUCAUGAAUUGACUUAUCUGAGGAAAGCCUCAGGCUAUGAAGAUACGAACACAAGGUGCUUCAGUUAGCAAAGGCAAGCAGAAGAAAGGGGAAAUAAUAAAUUGAAAUUUUCAGUUCUUUCAUGUUCAGUCUUUUGGCCUUUAGGUACCUUGAGAUCACUCCGGAAAUAUUUAUGUAAAAACUCUGUAGUUCUUUCCAACAAUUCAACAUCAAAAUCAACAGAUUUCUGUUUGAUGUAGAACUGACAACACUAUAACCUGCUCCCAGGAAAGGGUUGCAAAUAAAACUAUAUACAUCAACAUGAGAGAAGGUAAUGUAAUGACUUGUCCCUUCCCCAAAGCAGCAAAGAGCAACUAGAAAAAAAGCAGGACCAAGAUUUUCAGUGCUUACAUCAGAAUUAACAGAAAAGAAACUAAAUAUGUGUAGAUAAAUAUGUAUGUACAUAUAAACAGAUAAACUAGUGUCCAGGAUAAUAAUUGAACAACAAUCAGUAAUAGAACCAGCAGGUUUAUUUCUGAAAGACCUGUUUAAUUAUUCCUUUUCACUUUAUAAGCUCUUCUUAAUUAUUUUUUUAAAGCAUUUCAAUUAUAAAUGCAGAACGUAUUUUUAUGUGUGGUAGAGGGAAAAGGACCAGGAAAACUCAUCAUAAUCCAUUAUUAAACGUUCAGAUGUGAAAAAGAGCAGUAGGAGGAAUGCAGCUGCGUGUGCACUUGGCUUGCUUCUACAAAGAUGUGCAGCAGAGGGCACCACAGAUGGCACACAGGAGAGAUAUGCUUUGAAGCUGUUCGGCUCUGCUCCGUAAUUACACAGCUCUGAUAAAAGAGGUAUGAUUGGAGCAAAGCCUGAAGGAAAAAGGGAAAAGAAAGGGAGAUGAAUAGUCAUUCUCUGCUAGCAGCUAACAACCUCAAAUGGGAUAGCCCCUUCCAACUGAUAUGUUUGGGUUUUGAAGAAAAAAGAAGGAAAAGAGGAAGAACUUAGAUGUUUUCAGUUCACCUGACUAUGGAGGGAGAAACACCUGCAGCAAUCUGUUCUGCAGAGAACCAAACCACCAUGCAAGCAAGUGGGGUUUUUUGUUACCUUCUCUUCUUGUUGUUUUGUUUUUCAGAAGCAAAUUCUAGCAGGCCUUUCUUAAAAAGGAAAAGUGGUUUUCAUCUAACUUCUAUUACAGGGAUCCAACAUUUUCUUGUGCUUUUAGGAGCAAUAAUUUAUUUUAGGCAGCAGGGCAGUUAUCUGAGACAAAGAAACGCCAAGUGAACUAAAUAAAAGAAUGUCUUUUCCUAAUUCAGCAUAAAUGCCAUGAGAAGUUCAUUGGCAAUAAUUAAGCUGCAAAUAGAACUCUGUCUGAGCACUCAAAUAGACAAACCUUAUUUGCUGAGAAGUUUGAGCUUCACCAGUACUAUCAUAAGGAUAUUUCAAUCCUUCACCGGUCUGCAAACUGCCCUAAAAUAGACCAAGACUCCUGAAUAUUGAGGGAUUCUCUCUCUGGAAUCCAAAUGACUGCACCAACUUCCCUGUUUUAAAACUGCUGCAAGGAUGUAACUGCAAACUGUAAAAAUAAAAGUAAAUUCAUUUAAGAGGAAAUCAGCUGCAGCAGCUUCAGGACUUGCAAAAGUUACACGAAAAUAAGAAUAGGAUUUUAUAAUGGGAACUUGGGCAUUCUACUGCUUUUAUUAUUCUUUUGAAGAGCAUGUUGGGAGGGAGUAUAAAGUGAGAAGAUAUUUUGAAACAUCCAGACCUCUGUGGAAGUGACUCAGCUGGAAAUAAAACACAAAGACUGCCUUGCUGCUGAAUAACCUACUGGUCUCUCACAUACAAGUAACAAAUAUAAACGUCAGACUCUUCAUCUGUUGCCUUCUGUAUCAAAAUCCCGGGAGUGCUGAGCUAUAAAAGAAUCAGGCAAAUAAACAGCACCGCCUUCUGCAUCGAGCACCUGUAUACUUCUAACAGAUUAAUACCUAAUAUUUACCUGUUACCACAUUCUCCACUGCUAGGAAUAACAUGAGAAUUUGGGCUGAAGUGUCUGUGUGUCAGGUAAAUACAUAACAAGUGCUGAAUGGUGAGAGGAAUGUGGGGGGCUGACAGCUCCCUCCACCCUCCUUGCAGCCCCCAGCAACAGCCACCCUUACUGUCUGACCAGUUGGGCUCUGACAAACCCACGGCCAACAGCGGUAGUUUUCAGGUAGCUAUGUAUCAUCCCAUAGAAGUAGGAAGUGCAUUUAAUGGAUUGAUUUGUAAACAUUUAUAUACUUGUAAAAUUCCAAAUCUGGUUUAACUGAACAUUGAAUAAACAUGUUAUUAGGAAAAAAUCUGAUGAUUAAAAAAACGUGUUAAAGGGAAAAUAUGUUGAAACAAACAAAUGAAAGACAUUUGUGUUAAAACGUAACUGGAAAGCAAGAAUGUCUUCUGUUCCAAUGUUGAUGUGACAGCAUGAACAUAAUGGUCAAUAGAACAUAUUCUUGGAAACAGCUGCACCAUUUCCUCUGGAUUAGGAAAAGGUAAAAUGUCUUGUUUAUUUUUUAUUCUCCUUUUGUUGGCAAAGCUGUCAAGAGCAUGAGAACUCAGGUGUGAUUUUGCUCCUUAAACCCAAAAUUGCCAGCUGCUGUACAUUAAAAAUACUCAUGCCAAAAUCUGUUCUUUCAUUUAUGUGAGAGCUGCACUGCUGCUGCCAUGGCCUCAGGUUUGUGCCAACAGGUAAAACUCAGGAUGGACUUCAGACCUUUGUUAUUAACUAUUUAAUAAUGCCUGGGGAAAGUGAAGUAAGAGGGUGACGUAGGAGCCUGUUCUGACACCGAGGACUGUGGGUCAUGUGAAUAAUGAGAAGGGUGGGGUAGGUGAUUAACACAGUCCUGCUUCAUUUUUGAAAGCCUAGAUUAACAUCAGCUCUGUGUCACUAUUCAAAAUGCAUUUGGAGAUUUUAAUUUCAGUUACUAAUGUUAAUUGGUCCGCACCACAAAAUGCCAGGGACACCGUGAUGCAAUUUGGACAAAAAGCAACCUUUGCUUUGGAGGGUCCUGAGGUUCAGUACAGAAUAUGCCAAAUAUCCAACAGCAAAGAUGUGUUGGUUUACUGGGUUUUGUCGUUUGUUUUUUCACUGGAGGAGAGGUGAAAACACGAUUCAAACAUACACAGGAAUCGAACCAAAACAUGUCAUACGGGGUUGUCGUGUGAGCAGUUCUGGAUGCUGUAAGAUUCACUGGCCUUCACUGAAGGCUUCUCUGUACCUUCUUCUCAGAUACAUUCGUAGCCCUUUCACACCCUGUGUGAAGACUCUUUCUGUAUACAUAUUUGUAGACCAGUCUUUUCUCUCUACUCCAGCAAAGCUCAAAUGCUGCUGUAAGUCCUCUUCUAUAUUUGGGCAUGGAAGAAGGUAGGACAUUUUGCUUUGUUUUGCUUCGAUUCACUGCUGUUGGCAAUGAAAACCACAACCAUCCUGAGCCUGGUUUGGGGGAUCUUCUUCCAGGCUGCUUUAUGCCUUGUUUUGGGACUGGGCUCUGGGAAGUGCUGAGCCGAAAGAGCCGUGAGGACGUCCUGCAGCCAAAAAGGCAUCCAGCUCACUGUUAGAAGAAGGAGAAAGAAGAAAGAACUGCCAUCCUUCUAUUUUGCCAAGAGGAGGAAAACAGCAUGGAGCCAUACGACGCAGAAAAAUGUCUGCAUGCUGAGAGCGGUGCUGCACACAGCUCGUGUCCUAUGCGUGAAUUUCGUUUGCAAAAGAACUGCCGGGAUUGUUCUGCAAAGAGCACCCACUCCUCCAGCCCGGCCCUCCCCGGGCGCUCUCACUGCUUCGCUUCCUCCUUCUGGCUGUGAAGUCUGAAAGGAGCUCACGGAGGAGCAACGGGAUCAGUGCUCCCCUCUCACCCUCUGCUGCAGAAGAAGAAAGAGGUUUGAUUAAGUCCUCUAAAAGUAUUAAGGCUGAAUCAGACCACAAAAAGGAAAACAAACAAACAAACAAACAAACCCGUGCUCUAUGCUCACAAAAAAUGUCACCUUCCUAACGGCUGCAGUCAAAUCCUUUAGAGCCGGUAUUUACAAUCAAAUGUAUUCAAAUAUCUCCGAGCCCUAGCGCAGAUGACACCAAAAGGACCAUUUGCUAUAACUUAAACAAGUGCUCUGUAGUUCUCGGGUUAGCUCCUAAUGAAAACCGAAGGAAGGACCUACUGCCAGGGAUGCACACACACACACACACACACACACACACACACACACACACACACACACACGCAUAUUUCAUCCAACCCACCGCUACCAGCCCCGGGUCGCACUGAUUAACACUUUUCACGUAAACACACUUUUUCUUCCUUGAAAUGUUAAUGCCUGCUUAGUGCAAGGUGAAAGUCUAUCCAAAGACCGAAUCCCUUAAGAGUGUUAAUUAAACAGGACAAUAAUAAUCCACCGGUGAUUUAUGGCGAGGUGGAUGACUAGACCAUAGUGGUUGGUCUGAUAGGCAUUUAUUGCCUACUUAACCAUUUAAGUAUAACAAAAAAAAUCAUUGUGGUACAAAAGGUGAUGAAUGUUGCUGCUAAAACAGUCCAUUAAGAUGAUUCAUUAACAUUACAAAGAGGUCUGCAGCCUCUGUGCCACUUGGAGCCCGUAAAAGUCUGGGAAAGUGAGAGACAUUACCAUAGGAAAUGCUUUAUGCUAAAUGCGCGCUGAUAGAAUCUAAAGUCCACUUUCUGCAGAUAACAUCACUUUUUACAUUUUGCACUACAAGGUCCGAGGAUGCUUUGUACUUCUUAUUUCUGCAGCUAGAGAAUGUAUCUUCCUAACAGAGCAGCGCGGGAGGAGAGGAGUAAUAAAAGUCACAAUGCUCUGGCACACAUCUGAGCCUUUCAUACUUCCCUUUGAACUGAUGUCACUGGAAUGCCGAACCGCUGGUUGCACCACUGCGGAGCGACCGAGAGCCAUGAGUUAUAGUCACAGUGGUUACAACUUUAUUAAAUGCACACCAAGAAAAGCUACUACAAUGAUCUUCCCAGGUCAAAUAACAGCGGAUUCCUGCUGUGGGACAGCAAGGAGAUGUGCCACGGACGGAUGAUACAUGAAACAGUAUAAGGGUUAAAUCAGAGUGUAAAUGUAUCUAAAAAUACCAAAUUAUGAUCUCAGUACCUUCCUAACAAGUGAUUCCCAGUAACUAAUGAAGCCUGACUCCUUAUGGAUUUAUGCCACAUCUCUCACACCUCCCCAUCAGAACAACACCCAUUGUCCUCUGCCAUAGCCGCGCUGUAAUAACGCCCUGGUGUCCCUUAGCCAGCCCCAGGCUUUUUGGAUUUGCCAGCUGAAGAAAACAGUGCAUUUGCUAAGGAGUGAUAGAGUGAUCUGCAAAUCAGAAUCAUUUGCUGCUGUCAGCCAUGAUGAAGAAUUGCUAAAUUCUGCCUUCUUCUCGAUGGGAGCAUUAAUAAGAACUCCCUCCUCUUGGUAGGUGCUAACUCUUGCAAAAUUGCUAAGGACACAGCACCUUUGAAACUCCUCUGCAACCUGUGACAAAUGUGUCAGCAUAUUGGAAACUGGGUCAGACAAAUAAGGAGAUUGUGUAAGCAGUUCCCCAGGGAGCCAGACGAAGAGGCAUGAUAGGAUCUCCACUGACCAGAAGUUGCUAGACUCUUGUUUAUGUACUUCAUCUGAGGCGGAGCAUCCCCCAGUGCUUCCUCAAUUACAGGAAGUGUGUGCAGCACCUGUUCAGACUACCUGGGCUAGCUGCAAACAAGCUAGACUGGGUUCCAGGAGCACAGGACACUUGCUAACAAAUUCUGCUUCUCAGUAUGUAAUUAGCCUACUUUACUUCUCAGUAAAUGAAUUAGCACAGCUACACUACA
ensembl:lncRNA